rnacentral:sRNA from 1 species
AAAAAGCGUCAAAUGUCUAAUUUAAACGCGAAAAAGCAGCAGUGGCUCUGUCUCAACUGACAUUUCAGUUGUAAACAAACAAAUUGUAAAUAAACAAACAAAAUAAAAUUUCUAGUGAUUGUGUUCAAACUAUUUGUGCUCUUAGAAAAUAAAAAAAAGAAUAUUUCCGUAGCCCUAUUUUUUAUGGAGGAGGUUCGAAAUGUGCCACGGAGGAAUUUAAGAGAUGCUUCGAAUUUAUUUGAAGUACCUAACAACCAGUUUGUGGCCAACUUUCGCGUGUCGAAGGAAGUUUUCGGGCUCUUUUGGAUAUGAUGGAAGAGAAGUGUGUGCCCGGUUGCAGAACUACCCAAAUCCGCCCCGAUUUAAAACUGCUGCUUCCAAAAAUUGGCAUUCCUCUGGCGAACACAGGAUUCUCCUCCAUUUACUCAACUAGUGCCCGCAGCUGUGUAGUUGAUGAUUUUU